rnacentral:rRNA from 1 species
AUUGAACGCUGGCGGCAGGCCUAACACAUGCAAGUCGAACGGUAACAGGAAGCAGCUUGCUGCUUUGCUGACGAGUGGCGGACGGGUGAGUAAUGUCUGGGAAACUGCCUGAUGGAGGGGGAUAACUACUGGAAACGGUAGCUAAUACCGCAUAACGUCGCAAGACCAAAGAGGGGGCCCUUCGGGCCUCUUGCCAUCGGAUGUGCCCCGAUGGGAUUAGCUAGUAGGUGGGGUAACGGCUCACCUAGGCGACGAUCCCUAGCUGGUCUGAGAGGAGGACCAGCCACACUGGAACUGAGACACGGUCCAGACUCCUACGGGAGGCAGCAGUGGGGAAUAUUGCACAAUGGGCGCAAGUCUGAUGCAGCCAUGCCGCGUGUAUGAAGAAGGCCUUCGGGUUGUAAAGUACUUUCAGCGGGGAGGAAGGGAGUAAAGUUAAUACCUGUGCUCAUUGACGUUACCCGCAGAAGAAGCACCGGCUAACUCCGUG